ACGAAGGAUGCAAGCGUUAUCCGGAUUCAUUGGGUUUAAAGGGUGCGUAGGCGGACUUGUAAGUCAGUGGUGAAAUCUCUUUGCUUAACAAAGAAACUGCCAUUGAUACUGCAGGUCUAGAGUAUAGAUGACGUUGGCGGAAUAUGACAUGUAGUGGUGAAAUACUUAGAUAUGUCAUAGAACACCGAUUGCGAAGGCAGCUAACGAAACUAUAACUGACGCUGAGGCACGAAAGUGCGGGGAUCAAACAG
rnacentral:rRNA from 1 species